rnacentral:rRNA from 1 species
CCUACGGGGGGCAGCAGUGGGGAAUAUUGCGCAAUGGGCGAAAGCCUGACGCAGCGACGCCGCGUGAGGGAUGAAGGUCUUCGGAUCGUAAACCUCUGUCAGCAGGGAAGAACGGUAACUGUGCUAAUCAGCAGUGAAUUGACGGUACCUGCAAAGGAAGCACCGGCUAACUCCGUGUCAGCAGCCGCGGUAAUACGGAGGGUGCGAGCGUUAAUCGGAAUUACUGGGCGUAAAGCGCUCGUAGGAGGUAUGUCAAGUCAAGGGUGAAAGCCCCGCGCUCAACGUUGAAACUGCCUUUGAAACUGGCAAACUGGAGAGUGUGAGAGGAUAGUGGAAUUCCAGGUGUAGGAGUGAAAUCCGUAGAUAUCUGGAGGAACAUCAGUGGCGAAGGCGACUAUCUGGCACAUAACUGACGCUGAGGAGCGAAAGCGUGGGUAGCAAACAGGAUUAGAUACCCGAGUAGUC